rnacentral:SRP_RNA from 1 species
GCCAGGCAUGGUGGAGCACGCCUGUAAUCCCAGCUACGUGGGAGGCUGAGGCACGAGAAUCGCUUGAACCCGGGAGGCAGAGGUUGCAGUGAGCUGAGAUAACGCCACUGUACUUCAGCCUGGGUGACAGAGCGAGACUCUGUCUCAA